AGUGAACGCUGGCGGUAGGCCUAACACAUGCAAGUCGAACGGCAGCACAGUAAGAGCUUGCUCUUACGGGUGGCGAGUGGCGGACGGGUGAGGAAUACAUCGGAAUCUACUUUUUCGUGGGGGAUAACGUAGGGAAACUUACGCUAAUACCUCAUACGACCUACGGGUGAAAGCAGGGGAUCUUCGGACCUUGCGCGAUUGAAUGAGCCGAUGUCGGAUUAGCUAGUUGGCGGGGUAAAGGCCCACCAAGGCGACGAUCCGUAGCUGGUCUGAGAGGAUGAUCAGCCACACUGGAACUGAGACACGGUCCAGACUCCUACGGGAGGCAGCAGUGGGGAAUAUUGGACAAUGGGCGCAAGCCUGAUCCAGCAAUACCGCGUGGGUGAAGAAGGCCUUCGGGUUGUAAAGCCCUUUUGUUGGGAAAGAAAAGCAGCAGGUUAAUACCCCGCUGUUCUGACGGUACCCAAAGAAUAAGCACCGGCUAACUUCGUG
rnacentral:rRNA from 1 species